rnacentral:rRNA from 1 species
AUUGAACGCUGGCGGUAUGCUUAAGACAUGCAAGUCGAACGGUAACAGACCUUCGGGUGCUGACGAGUGGCGGACGGGUGAGUAACACGUGGGAAUCUACCUUGUAGUGGGGGAUAAGCCAGGGAAACUUGGACUAAUACCGCAUACGCCCUAAGGGGAAAGGCGCAAGUCGCUAUAAGAUGAGCCCGCGUCUGAUUAGCUAGUUGGUGAGGUAAAGGCUCACCAAGGCGACGAUCAGUAGCUGGUCUGAGAGGAUGACCAGCCACAUUGGGACUGAGACACGGCCCAGACUCCUACGGGAGGCAGCAGUCGGGAAUAUUGGACAAUGGGGGCAACCCUGAUCCAGCAAUACCGCGUGUGUGAAGAAGGCCCUGCGGGUUGUAAAGCACUUUUAGUAGGGAAGAUAAUGACGUUACCUACAGAAAAAGCACCGGCUAACUCCGUGCCAGCAGCCGC